UACGUAGGUGGCGAGCGUUGUCCGGAUUUACUGGGCGUAAAGAGCGCGCAGGCGGUCGGCCAAGUCGAGUGUGAAAGCCCCCGGCUCAACUGGGGAGGGUCACUUGAUACUGGUCGACUCGAAGGCGGGAGAGGGAAGUGGAAUUCCCGGUGUAGUGGUGAAAUGCGUAGAUAUCGGGAGGAACACCAGUGGCGAAAGCGGCUUCCUGGUCCAGCACCGACGUUCAGGCACGAAAGCGUGGGGAGCAAACAGG
rnacentral:rRNA from 1 species